rnacentral:lncRNA from 1 species
GGAGCUGUAGCCACUGGCCUACGCCAGAGCCACAGCAACUCGGGAUCCGAGCCGCUGUCUGCAACCUACACCACAGCUCAUGGCAACGCCGGAUUCUCAACCCACUGAGCAAGGCCAGGGAUCGAUCCCGAAACUUCAUGGUUCCUAGUCGGAUCUGUUAACCACUGAGCCACGACGGGAACUCCAGAGACAUUUUCUUAUAUAACUACAAUACCAUACUCUCCAAAUGCGUAUUUCCCUAAUUUGGACCACUGUUUUUUUUAAAAAAGAAAUAGAAUAGAAAUCUAUAUUUCAUGGCUUCACAUGUAGCAAGGGAAAAAUUGAUUCAUACAAUUCUUGUUUUAAUUAUGUAUAUUUACAUCUAUUGUAUAAUGAUGUAAAAUUCAUAUCAUACUGUGGUUUUCAGUCUAAGAAGUUUGAACAGCCUUGCUCUAGGCCUUGCUCUAGUGGUGCUCACAGUGUCGUCCAACACCAACAGCAUCAGUCAUCCUGGUAACUUGCUAGAAAGGCAAAUUCUAAGGUCUCAUUUGACACUACUGAAUCAGAAUCUCUGGAGGGGGGGACCAGGAAUUUGUAUUUUAGAAAAAAUCACUGAAUUUCUGGGUGAUUCUGCUAGUUUGAGAACCACUGAUUUAGACUAAACUUGGUGGCUCCAGGGGUACCUGACCCUCACCUGUGGCCCAACGUGGGUCCUUUGUCUUCCUCAUCGUUGUCAGAGGCAGUGCUGGUAAUGCACUAAAAGGGAAGUGGCAUCUACCUUGGCAGUGCUUAAAGCAUGAUUUGUCUUUCCAGGCUCAGGCAAAUCCUUACCUAAAGGCACAGAAUGGUCUAGAUCCAUAAGAUUAAUGAUACACAGUUUAGUCCCUAUACCAGUAGCAUCUGCAAAAAGAGACUAAAGCUCUAACGGGUUAUUGUGGGGCUUAAAUGAUGUUUGUGAAAUGCCUACCAUUGUAGCAGGAGGCCAGAGCAGUCACUUAUUACACGGUGGUGGUAGCUGCUGUAUUUGACAUUGCCUAUCACAACCCUGGGCAUAUAAUUGAUGCUCAAUAGAUGUGACUAAUUAUUAAUUUAUUCAUUAGAGAGGAAGGCAGGCUAUUCUGGCUUGUUCCUUGAUUUUGCCAUAAAUUAGAACAAUGUGAUUUGUCAGAGACAGGGAAUAAAUCAUAAUUAGGAAAGCUAAAAGGAGGCACAGAAAGGAGGAGAGCAGGGAAAGAGAGAAUAUAGGAAGCAUAUCCAUAUUCACGAGAGCAAUGGAGACAAUGACGAUUCUUGGAGGAACAAGGAAGUAUGGGCUAUUGAAAACUAUGCUCAUUUCUUAGUUAUAGUUACAGAAUUUCAGAACUGGAAAAGAGAACCUGGAGUUCACAGACCCACCCCUUCGUGGCCCAGGUGAAGCAGCUAAGGCCCCAGAUAGAGAUGCGGGGAUAAAAUUGGUUUCUGAGGACAGGCACUGCCUGUUACAUCUUCCAUAAAAUCAGCCAACUCAUCUCCAUGGAAACCUCUGAAGAUUGUGAAAGUACAGAUGUGGGAAGAGAGCAGCCCUCUGAGUGUGAUUUAUUUCCUUUCUAUUUCUUAUUUUCCUCUCUCAUUCCUAUUCAUAAGCUUCUCCUGCCUCUUCUUGUUCUCCCCCCCUCUCCUAUCCUUUCCAUCCAUGAUUCUCACCCAUUACAACCGGGUUCAAUUCAAGAAUCAGAGGUCACUGGAUCUGCAAAGUCCAGAAUGUCCCACAUUACCAGUCUCCUUAGUCAUGUGCUAGCUUCUAGGGGCCAACUCACAAUUGGCUCUGACGGCACCAGAGAACUUACUACCAUCUCACUACCUCAUUAGGUUCCUCAAAAAUACUUACGGCCCUUGAAUAGCCAGAUAUCAUGGAAACACAACCCAAAGCUGUCUUACUCCUUUGGGUCUUUAACGACUUUCUGAAUUUCUUGCAAGAGGUUGCUAUGAAAAUUGUUGCUCUACUUGUGCAGGCAGAGUGCAAAGUGCCCAAAUAGCAUGGGGAGGGAGAAACCUCUGCACAAAUCUCACGUCGGAGGUGGGCUAACACCAUCUCUUAACCUCAGCCCAUAAUUGUUACCAGAAAGCAUUUAAACACGUCCCCAAAGCCCUGGGGUGAGUGGCUCUUACUAGAAACUGAAUACAGGGUGUUUGAGGUCUGGCUUUUUACACGCCAAAAGGGGAAGCUGAGUUUUCUGAAAUAGGCUCAGAACCUGGCGACCGGGUCCCCCCCUCGUAGAAUGGAUUGAAGGACAAGCUGAGCAGAUUCGCAACAGUGUCUACCACUGGAUAUUUGCUUAGAGCAGACGCUCUAAGGACUGAUGCGGAGGAAGGUCCACGCGGGUGCUGUCCCAGAGCCUUUCCAGGAGGGAGCACUGGCGAGCCUGACCGUUUGCAGGCGGAGCAUCGGCGCACGGGAAAAGCUGCACAAAGGAAAAGGCCCACACGGUGGACACACCCGUACGCACACUUGUGCACAGCAGGGUCCAAGCACAGCCUGCGCUUCCCGCUCCAAGUACGGAUGUGUACAGAAGACGUUGAUAACUGAAUGCGACCCCCCCACAAAAGGGGGUAACAAACUCCAGCCGCUUCCAUUCCUCCAUAACAACACUUCGCCACCUCCAGCCCCGCCAGGAGUCGGGACCGGACCGGCAGCAGGGCCUCACCCAGCCCUCCUUCCCGAGCACUCACAGCUGGCCCCCUUCAUGCCUCGGCUUCUCGACGGAUAUCUGGCGGGGGGAGGAGGGGCGAUCCAGGAAGGCGAGCUUCUGGCAUUCAGAACCCGGGUGCUGCUGGCUGGCGCGGCGAAGUCGCUAUCUUAUGUCCCCGACAGCUAGAGGACAGAUCGUGAAUCGCCCGGGUUCUGGGGACCUGAGCGCAGGCUUCGCUCGCGGGAAAGAGCGCCGCUUCC